UUGCUUUAAAAAACAAUCUUUGAACAAGCCCGAUCCCGUCUGAUCUCAGAAGCUAAGCAAGGUCAGGCCAGGUUAGUACUUGGAUGAGAGACCACCUAGCAAGACCAGGCACUGUAGGGGU
rnacentral:rRNA from 1 species